UAAAGGUAUUCCGGUAGACGAUGGGGAUGCGUUCCAUUAGAUAGUAGGCGGGGUAACGGCCCACCUAGUCUUCGAUGGAUAGGGGUUCUGAGAGGAAGGUCCCCCACAUUGGAACUGAGACACGGUCCAAACUCCUACGGGAGGCAGCAGUGAGGAAUAUUGGUCAAUGGGCGAGAGCCUGAACCAGCCAAGUAGCGUGAAGGAUGACUGCCCUAUGGGUUGUAAACUUCUUUUAUAAAGGAAUAAAGUCGGGUAUGGAUACCCGUUUGCAUGUACUUUAUGAAUAAGGAUCGGCUAACUCCGUGCCAGCAGCCGCGGUAAUACGGAGGAUCCGAGCGUUAUCCGGAUUUAUUGGGUUUAAAGGGAGCGUAGAUGGAUGUUUAAGUCAGUUGUGAAAGUUUGCGGCUCAACCGUAAAAUUGCAGUUGAUACUGGAUAUCUUGAGUGCAGUUGAGGCAGGCGGAAUUCGUGGUGUAGCGGUGAAAUGCUUAGAUAUCACGAAGAACUCCGAUUGCGAAGGCAGCCUGCUAAGCUGCAACUGACAUUGAGGCUCGAAAGUGUGGGUAUCAAACAGGAUUAGAUACCCUGGUAGUCCACACGGUAAACGAUGAAUACUCGCUGUUUGCGAUAUACUGCAAGCGGCCA
rnacentral:rRNA from 1 species